GUUUAUUUAUUUAGAAUGUCUUGAAUUUGGGGUGGGCUACUGCCUACCGUGGGCUGGCUAGUGUGGUGUGGUGUCACGCGAGGCUGCAGCCUGCACCAAGACAUGCCAGCGGCGAGCAUAUUCUCCGCCGGCGGUGAGCAUAUUCUCGCUAGAUGCUUUCCUUAGCUUCGAAGGCUCGAACUCUGACCUAGGACAGAGCUUAUAUAUACAGGACUAGCUAGGAGUCUCUCCUCAACCUCUCCUGGUUCUACAGCUUGCUAGCGCCUCCACCUCGUCGGCCCGGAGCCAGGGUCCGGCGCCGGCGCCGGCGGGAGAGGGCUCUGCAUCCUCAGCCCAUGACGUGCCCUCCACGUGGAUCGGGAUCGGAUCGACUUCCACUUCAUCUUCUGCUGCGUCGCCGGCCGGCCGCCUACUUCGUCGUCGAUCGAUGGGCUACUUCCUCGACUCUGAUCCGGUGCUCCGUCGUGACCGCGCGAUUGAACCAGCAGCACCGGUGAGUCGACGACGGACGACCUCGUGCUGCUCCGAUCGGAUCCCUACCUGUCGGCCACUCCGCUCCGGCACGCGCCGCCGCCGCCCUGCCGCCUAUAUAUGUGUUAGGGUAAAACCAUUCCUCCCAUCUGACUCCAUUUCUGUACAUGUGUUUGGUUAACGCUGUUGGAUCCGAUCGAUCUUGCACUCUGGCUCUGAAAUUAUCGAUUGUGUGCCAAGCUGAAGUUGCUGGAUAAUCACCUUAUACACGAAGAACAAAGCUGAUUUAAUUUCAUGUGUGCUGUGUCCUGUGUGUACUUUUUAUGGAGCGUGAGCCGUUCUCUUCGAUCGAUCGGGGGUACCAGCCUAUAUAUUCGAUUGGGGGUGCCUUCCUAGCGUCAGGGACCAUGAGCCGGAGCAGCGCCCAAGGGAGGCGGAGGCCGUCGAGGCCAAAAAACUCGUGCACGACGAGGUAGAGGUCAGCGACACGGUGCCUUAGGGAUCCUGUGGAGCUAUUCGUCUCCUACAGGGUGCCGGCGCCGGCGCCGUUGCUGUUGUCCUCUGCCUCACUGGACACAGGUUUUUUGGCCUCCACCGCCUUUGCUUCCCUUGCGAGCCGCUCAGGCUCAUGGUCCAUCAGAACUAGGAAGGCACAUCGAUGGCCGGUGUCACGGCCGUCCGCCGUGCCGUUCACACGAUCUAACUCUGGGCUCCUAUGGGUAGAAGUUGGAUUUCUUUUGGGAAUGGAGAGAGGACCGCCCAAUCCAGAUUUGAAAUGCAAUUAAUUAUAAUUGCACUGCACUCCCCCAUAUAUAUAUAGCCAUAGGCAGCUGGAUAAGCACAUUCAUGCUUGUACGCAGAACAAGCUGAUUUAAUUUUGCGUGUGCUGUGUGUACUUUUUCUUGAGCAUGUAUCACAUGGUAGAGGUUGGCGACACGGACACACGGUGCCUCUGUGCUCCUAUGGAGCUAUUAUCUCCUACACGGUGCCAGCAUCAUUGCCAUCUUUUCUGCCUCACUGGACACAGGUUUCUUGUCCUCCCCCGCCCUUCUCUUCCCUUGUGAUCCGCUCUGGCUCAUGGUCCCUUAGAACUAGGAAGACACCUCAAUGGCUGGUGCUGCUGCCAUUCGCCCUGCCGUUCAUACCAUAUAACUCUGGGCUCCUGUGAGCAGAACUUCUCGAAUGCACUGCACUACCCAUAGCCAGCAGUCUUUUGCAUGCUAAACUGAAGCUGGUGGAUAAUCACCUUCACGCUUAUAUGCAGAACAAGCUGAUUUAAUUUCUUGUGUGUACGAUUGUGCGUACUUUUUAUUGAACAUCGAUCAUAUAUGGCUCUUCUAUUAUUGUUUUGCUGUCCAAUUCUUUCUUUUUGCAGUCAUCCCAUCACAAGAUCGUACUAUUUUAAUUUUGUGAUAGGUUUGCUUGCUGUUUCAAUAUUUGCAUCGUCGCUGCAUGCAUAAUUUGGCUCUGAGUAUUCACUGGAUCAAGGCAGAAAAAACACAAUCAGCUAUUUUUGUGCUCAAUAUAAACUUGGUGCGUAAAUGGCUGAACUGUUAAUUUUAGAGUUUUGCUCCAGUGGUCCUCAUAAAAAAGGUCACACAAAUAUAAUUAAUUUCAUUUUGGAUAUGGACUGGGCCGACCCUAUAUAUCCCUAAAAGAAGUCCAACCUAUGCACUACUCAGAGUCACAUUGUAGGAACAGGAGGGUAGAUGCCGGAUGGCAACGAUACCCGCCUAUUCGGGGUGCCUUCCUAGCGUCGGGGACCAUGAGCCGGAGUAGCGCCCAAUGGAGGCGGAGGCCGAUGAGGCCAAGAAACUCGUGCAUGGUGAGGUAGAGGUUAGCGACACGGUGCCUCUAUGCUCCCAUGGAGCUAUUCUCUCCUACACAGUGCUGGCACCAUUGCCAUCCUCUAUCUCACUGGACACAUGUUUCUUGGCCUCCCGGCCUUCUCUUCCCUUGUGAUCUGCUCUGGCUCAUAGUCCCUCAGAUCUAGGAAGGCACCUUGAUGGCUGGUGCCACUGCCGUCCGCCCUGCUGUUCAUACCAUCUAACUCUAGGAUGCCGUGGACAGAAAUUUUUGAUUGCACUGCACUACCCAUAGGCUCUUUUGCACGCUAAAUUGAAGCUGGUGGAUAAUCACCUUCACGUUUAUACGUAGAACAAGCUGAUUUAAUUUCGUGCGUGUACAUUGUGCGUACUUUUUCUUGAGCAUCGAUCAUAUAUGGCUCUUCGAUGUCCAAUUCUUUGUUUUGCAGUCAUCCCAUCACAAGAUCGUACUAUUUUAAUUUUGUGAUAGGUUGCUUGCUGUUUCAUAUAUUUCCAUCGCUGCAUGCAUAACUAGGGGUCUGUAUGUAAUCACUACAUCAACGCAGAAAAAACACAAUCAGCUAUUUUUGUGCUCAGCACAAAUGUGGUGCGCAAAUGGCUGAACUAUUAAGUUUAGAGUUUCGCUCCAGUGGUCCUCUUAAAAAAAGAUACACAGAUAUAAUUAAUUUUGUUUUGGAUCCGGACUGGCCGACCCUAUACAUUCCCAAAAGAAGUCCAGCCUAUACUGCUAGAGUCAUUUUUGUAGGAAAUGGUGGGGCGGCCAUGGUACUAGCCUAUUCGGUGUGCCUUCCUAGCAUCAGGCACCAUGAGUCUAAACAGCGCCCAAGGGAGGCGGAGGCCGUCGAGGCCAAGAAACUUAUGUACGGUGAGAUAGAGGUUAGCGUCAUGGUGCCUUUUGGGCUGUUGUGGAGCUAUUCUCUCCUACACAGUGCCAGCACCAUCGCCAUCUUCUGCCUCACCGGGCACAAGUUUUUGGCCUCCACCGCCUUCGCUUCCCUUGCGAGCUGCUCUAGCUCAUGGUCCCUUAGAAUUAGGAAGGCACCUCGAUGGCCGAUGCCACGCCCGUCCUCCUUGCCAUUCAUACGAUGUUACUCUAGGCUCCUGUGGGUAGAAGUUAGGUUUCUUUUGGGCAUGCAUAGGGCAGACAAGUCCUGAUUUCAAACAUAAUUAAUUAUUCAAUGCUUUAAGAUCUGUGCAAUUUUUUAAGAGGACCACCAGAGCACAACUCUUAAAUUUAUUCUUAUUAGCUUCUUAACUUGUUAAUGUAUUGUUUUCUUAAUUUUUUCUAUUUUUGAAAAGGAGAUCAAGGUGUUUUCUUUUGUCUAUUUUAAAGACACUCAGUGCGGAAACUCAUGUUUUGGGUUGACAAUGACAAUGAUACAUAUGUUGACCGAAUUCGUGCUUGAUGAGGACUUCAUGUUCAGCCUUGAUGCAUGCUCAUGCUGAGUCUUUGUGUCAAGAUAUAGUUAAUGUACCUGCACAUAGAUCACAACACUAAUAAUUAAGAAACUUUAUUGACCACUUUAUAAAUUAACUUACGUCGCUUCAGCAAACAGUUGCGCACUAGAUUGGAUCGAACUUCUCUCUUAUGCCCUUUCCCCCCAAUCAUAUUUUAUAAUGGAUGUAAACAUCAUCAUGCCUAUGAUUACAACUUUACUAAUUAGAUGUAUAUGUAUGUAACUAACUUCUCAAGAAAUAAGUACCGCCUAAUUAAGAUGUGCAUUGCAAUUGUUCAUGAGCUAAGCCUUGCAUUGUUACUAAUUUUUUUAGCAUUCCAAUGGUUUUAGUUGUGGCUAUGAUGGUGAUGACUAUUGAAGGGUUCUACAACAGUACAUCCCAGUGGUGCUUGUUGGUGACAAACAAAGAUAGGAGGGGCUAGCAGGGUGGGUGGGGGAUGACCAUGUCAGCAUGUUAAGCCUGAUUGCACUCACUCAUAAUGGUGGUUGACAAAUAAUUUGGAUAUGAAGAAAAUGGUGUGCUUAGUGUCCCUUGUAGCAAGGCCAAUUUAUUUGACCAGAUGGUCAAUGUUAUGAUAUGCAAAACUACGAGCUUGUCGAUUGAGCUAGUGUGUAUAUAUAGUAGGUAGAGAUUGUGUUAUUAUUCAUUGUUGGUUACUUUAUUUAUGUCACAUAGAUAUUUUAUUUAAAAUAGAGUUGUCGUAGCUUUAUCCUUUUAUGUGGGUGUAUAUCGACCUAAGGUGGUUAGAACAGUUCUAUACAGCGCAACACUAGCAAGGUAAGAUAAGCCUUGUGUGAGAAUGACUCAUUGGCUUUUGCCUGAAAAUGUCAAUAAGGAGUGAAGUAUAUCUUGAAAGUCAUGAACUACCUAAAAUUCUUUUGUCUGCAUCCAAAUCUCUUCUACAUCUCGUUUUUUUGCUUCUCUUUCCCUCUUAGGACUUCUGCAUCUACUUCAUUGCUAUGGUCCUUUUUUUGGAAGAAGAGGCAAACCCUUGGAUACGGGGUCAUUUCAUUGUUGGUGGUUUAGGGCAUGCGGUGCUCGCCACAAAGAGUUGAUCUCUCAGCAACGGUGCUCCACCCCCUGAAAUAUCACAACAUGCUCCUUCCGUGACUAUUCCUAUCGUCUCCUUCUCGUCUACUGUGCGAAUGGUGAGAGCAGGCUGUGCUGCAGUACUACAGCGAGCUAGGGACCAUGCAACAUUUUUUAAUUUUUUUUAUCAAUUAUCACUCUACUUGUUUGUAUAUAUAAUGAGCUGAUGGUGAUAAUCAUUUUCGCUACAG
rnacentral:lncRNA from 1 species